rnacentral:rRNA from 1 species
UACGUAGGGUGCGAGCGUUGUCCGGAAUUAUUGGGCGUAAAGAGCUUGUAAGCGGUUUGUCGCGUCUGCUGUGAAAAUCCGGGGCUCAACCCCGGACUUGCAGUGGGUACGGGCAGACUAGAGUGUGGUAGGGGAGACUGGAAUUCCUGGUGUAGCGGUGGAAUGCGCAGAUAUCAGGAGGAACACCGAUGGCGAAGGCAGGUCUCUGGGCCACUACUGACGCUGAGAAGCGAAAGCAUGGGGAGCGAACAGG